GAGCACCUGAGAUCUGGAAGCAGGAAAAAUGGCAAAAGUCCCCAAGUGAUGGUGGAAACGCUCGAAGAGUGGCAGUAGCAUAGGAGAAAGGUACAGGCAGCUUUAAAGCAACAAACAAAACAACAGUAGACAAUGACCAGGAAAUAUGGUGAGAAGAGUCAUCGGAAGAAAAGAAAGGCAAAACUGCCAAGCAAACAAAUGAUUCUCCUCAUUCAUUGAUUCAACAAACACUUCCUAAGCUCCUCAAGGGGCCAGGGCCCAAGGCAGGCAUGAAGUAGCACUGAGCACACAGACAAGCAGGACACAGGCUGGGAAAUAUCAAUUAAGUUAAGCGCAGAGCAUCAUAAGGACCUUACUUUUCAAAAUCCAUGCUGGUGAACUUGACCUCUUUGAUACUUUAGGAUUGAUAUUACAAUCUCAAGAGGUAUCACGGAAUAUUGAGGUUUGUUCUGCAUUUGGUUAUUCAAAGCUUUGAUUUUUUAAAUGUAUAGAGAUACUCUGUGCUGGAUAUUAAACACAUGUCUAUUUCUUUUUCCUCUCCAACAAGGGAAAUAGAAGAAAAAUUAUCUUGAAUGAGGG